GCAGAAUAAGCACAUCAGUUGUCAUUAUGACAGGCGUCGUCUCCUGAAGCCACCCAGGAGCGCAGAGUGUUUCUGCUGUCACUCAGCACUCGGAACGUACAGCGCUGAUGUUUUAGACCGACUCUGCUCCAACACCCAGUAUGGCCGACAGAUGUUUCAGCCUCUUCACUCGGGCAGAUGUUCAGGCUGUAAGAAGAAGAUUCUGGGCAGAACGUAUGCAACCAAUUUUCUGCAGCGCUAACCGGUUUCCCGACCAGACUCCUUCUCCUUCUCAACACCAGUGUGGCUGGAUUUUCAUGUCCUCCAUCUUUAAUCAUCACUUCCUCGUCAGCACUACCACCAAUAUCACCACUACAGACUGCACCACCAUCAAUAUCACCACUACAGACUGCACCACCAUCAAUAUCACCACUACAGACUGCACCACCAUCAAUAUCACCACUACCAUCAGCAGCACCAUCAAUAUCACCACAUAGUCUGCACCACAUCACCACUACAGACUGCACCACCAUCACCACCAGCACUACCAUCAGCACCACCAUCACCACCAGCACUACCAUCAGCACCACCAUCAAUAUCAACACUACAGACUGCACCACCAUCAAUAUCACCACUACAGACUGCACCACCAUCAAUAUCACCCCAUAGUCUGCACCACAUCACCACUACAGACUGCACCACCAUCACCACCAGCACUACCAUCAGUACCACCAUCAAUAUCACCACUACAGACUGCACCACCAUCACCACCAGCACUACCAUCAGCACCACCAUCAAUAUCACCACUACAGACUGCACCACCAUCAAUAUCACCACUACAGACUGCACCACCAUCAAUAUCACCACUACAGACUGCACCACCAUCACCACCAGCACUACCAUCUGCACCACCAUCAAUAUCACCACCACCAUCAGCAGCACCAUCAAUAUCACCACCACCACUAUCAUCUGCACCACCAAUACUAUCACCACUACCAUCACCGCUACCAUCAGCACCACCAUCACCACCACCACUACUAUCACCACCACCAUCAAUAUCAGCACUACCAUCACCAUCUUUAUGAUUUAGACAUUAAACAAACAAACUGAUCUUUAAAAAAAACAUUUUCUACAUAACAGUAAUGUACCCCAAAUAUUUUUUGGAUUUUUAUUACUGAUUUUUUGGAGUGUUGUUGGAACGCGUACUAAUGAUUCCACGAUCAUUCAACAUUCACGGUAACAUUCACACAAAGGUUAGUUAGCAAAGCGAACAAAAAAAUGUUCCUCUGUGUGUAGAAAAGAAACUACCUGAGAAGCUUUCACAGCACUCUGUCGGUGUAUUCCGGAAAUAAGCGCUAGUGUCAUCACAUUCGCAUUUCCUCCCUCAAUGCAGAGCGAGUGAUGAUGCCAUUUUAGCCGACAUGGCUCGAAUAAUCACGCUCGGUCCUCCGACGCCCGGCGUUGUCACGCAGAAUGCUAGUUUCAGCUCAUCUUUUGUAGACCUGACUCAGGCUGAAGAAGUGCUAGCGCUGCUGUUUGUACAGGAGAUGAGCAGAUCGAUAGCACAUGCUAUGUUUAGGGAGCAAUCCUCAGCCUUCGAGGCUAUCGCUGGAGCAUGUGGUAUCCGUGUUCUCUUUUUUAAUGGGUAAAAAUGGUUCAGACAGAAAAAUCAAAGCAUGUCGCUAAAAACAUCUACUUAUAAGUCGAUGCACAACCUUAAACUACCAUCAUUCUUACGCAUCACUUAUUAGCUAGUUGUGUUUUGGGGUCAUUUGAAAUUCGGCUUAAAACAGAAUCGCCUCUCGCAGCUGGAUAUCAUAGCUAGCAAGGUCCUUUUGGUUACGUGCCGUACUUCUUAACCAUCUAUAGUUACUUAUAAUGUUGUGAAACUGGUCAGUUGCUGUUCCUGAAACAGUCGUUCCCUCAGCAGCAGCAAAAAAAAAAACUGCAGCUUGUUGUCCUUCGUUACCGAGAAACCGCAAAAACAUCUACGUCCCGAAGAUGUCGGAAAACAUAAGGUUACAGUUUUACAAAGCGCUAACACCGGAGACUCCUUCCAUGAUUGUUACAUAUAACACAAAACGUCACCAUAUUAACACGUGUCGUCAGGUCAUAAAUACAUUUUUAAAAAUGUAAUAAUGAAAAUGUGGGGGAAAAAAAAACGAGAUGAAAGAAUAUAAUAAAAUAUGAGGAAUGAACUUUAACCUCGCAAGACUCCGGUUAGAUAAGCUAGGCUUUUUGAUAUUGUUAGCGUUCGUAGUGUGCACUGACUGAAAGUUUGCUAACUGGCUGACCAAGUAACGAAGCGAUGCUAGCUAGCAAGUUAAGUACAUACGUGUACAGUUGCGAUCAAAUUAUUCAACCCCCAUUGCGAAU
ensembl:lncRNA